rnacentral:rRNA from 1 species
GACGAACGCUGGCGGCGUGCCUAAUACAUGCAAGUAGAACGCUGAAGAGAGGAGCUUGCUCUUCUUGGAUGAGUUGCGAACGGGUGAGUAACGCGUAGGUAACCUGCCUUGUAGCGGGGGAUAACUAUUGGAAACGAUAGCUAAUACCGCAUAACAAUGGAUGACCCAUGUCAUUUAUUUGAAAGGGGCAAAUGCUCCACUACAAGAUGGACCUGCGUUGUAUUAGCUAGUAGGUGAGGUAACGGCUCACCUAGGCGACGAUACAUAGCCGACCUGAGAGGGUGAUCGGCCACACUGGGACUGAGACACGGCCCAGACUCCUACGGGAGGCAGCAGUAGGGAAUCUUCGGCAAUGGGGGCAACCCUGACCGAGCAACGCCGCGUGAGUGAAGAAGGUUUUCGGAUCGUAAAGCUCUGUUGUAAGUCAAGAACGAGUGUGAGAGUGGAAAGUUCACACUGUGACGGUAGCUUACCAGAAAGGGACGGCUAACUACGUGCCAGCAGCCGCGGUAAUACGUAGGUCCCGAGCGUUGUCCGGAUUUAUUGGGCGUAAAGCGAGCGCAGGCGGUUUGAUAAGUCUGAAGUUAAAGGCUGUGGCUCAACCAUAGUUCGCUUUGGAAACUGUCAAACUUGAGUGCAGAAGGGGAGAGUGGAAUUCCAUGUGUAGCGGUGAAAUGCGUAGAUAUAUGGAGGAACACCGGUGGCGAAAGCGGCUCUCUGGUCUGUAACUGACGCUGAGGCUCGAAAGCGUGGGGAGCGAACAGGACUAGAUACCCUGGUAGUCCACGCCGUAAACGAUGAGUGCUAGGUGUUGGAUCCUUUCCGGGAUUCAGUGCCGCAGCUAACGCAUUAAGCACUCCGCCUGGGGAGUACGACCGCAAGGUUGAAACUCAAAGGAAUUGACGGGGGCCCGCACAAGCGGUGGAGCAUGUGGUUUAAUUCGAAGCAACGCGAAGAACCUUACCAGGUCUUGACAUCCCGAUGCUAUUUCUAGAGAUAGAAAGUUACUUCGGUACAUCGGUGACAGGUGGUGCGUGGUUGUCGUCAGCUCGUGUCGUGAGAUGUUGGGUUAAGUCCCGCAACGAGCGCAACCCCUAUUGUUAGUUGCCAUCAUUCAGUUGGGCACUCUAGCGAGACUGCCGGUAAUAAACCGGAGGAAGGUGGGGAUGACGUCAAAUCAUCAUGCCCCUUAUGACCUGGGCUACACACGUGCUACAAUGGUUGGUACAACGAGUUGCGAGUCGGUGACGGCAAGCUAAUCUCUUAAAGCCAAUCUCAGUUCGGAUUGUAGGCUGCAACUCGCCUACAUGAAGUCGGAAUCGCUAGUAAUCGCGGAUCAGCACGCCGCGGUGAAUACGUUCCCGGGCCU